rnacentral:rRNA from 1 species
UGAGGAAUAUUGGGCAAUGCCCGCAAGGGUGACCCAGCAACGCCGCGUGGAGGAUGAAUGUCGUAAGAUUGUAAACUCCUGUUAGAGGGGAAGAAUAGUACCGGUUGGACCGGUAUAUGACUGUACCCUCAGAGAAAGCCCCGGCUAACUACGUGCCAGCAGCCGCGGUAAUACGUAGGGGGCAAGCGUUGUCCGGAUUUACUGGGUGUAAAGGGCGCGCAGGCGGGAUAAAAAGUCAGUGGUGAAAUCCUACAGCUUAACUGUAGAACUGCCUUUGAUACUUUUAUUCUUGAGUUCGGGAGAGAGAGACGGAAUUCCAGGUGUAGUGGUGAAAUACGUAGAUAUCGGGAAGAACACCAGUUGCGAAGGCGGUCUCUUGGUCCGACACUGACGCUGAGGCGCGAAAGCGUGGGGAGCAAACA